rnacentral:rRNA from 1 species
UACAGAGGGGGCAAGCGUUGUUCGGAAUUACUGGGCGUAAAGGGCGCGUAGGCGGCCUGUUAAGUCGAACGUGAAAUCCCCGGGCUCAACCCGGGAAUUGCGUCCGAUACUGGCAGGCUUGAAUCCGGGAGAGGGAUGUGGAGUUCCAGGUGUAGCGGUGAAAUGCGUAGAUAUCUGGAGGAACACCGGUGGCGAAGGCGGCAUCCUGGACCGGUAUUGACGCUGAGGCGCGAAAGCCAGGGGAGCAAACGGG